rnacentral:rRNA from 1 species
AACGCGAAGAACCUUACCAUCCCUUGACAUCCAGAGAACUUUCUAGAGAUAGAUUGGUGCCUUCGGGAACUCUGAGACAGGUGCUGCAUGGCUGUCGUCAGCUCGUGUUGUGAGAUGUUGGGUUAAGUCCCGCAACGAGCGCAACCCUUAUCCUCAGUUGCCAGCACGUAAUGGUGGGAACUCUGUGGAGACUGCCGGUGAUAAACCGGAGGAAGGUGGGGACGACGUCAAGUCAUCAUGGCCCUUACGGGAUGGGCUACACACGUGCUACAAUGGCGCGUACAAUGGGAAGCAAGCACGCGAGUGUAAGCGGAUCUCAAAAAGCGCGUCGUAGUCCGGAUCGGAGUCUGCAACUCGACUCCGUGAAGUCGGAAUCGCUAGUAAUCGCGAAUCAGAAUGUCGCGGUGAAUACGUUCCCGGGUCUUGUACACACCG